rnacentral:rRNA from 1 species
GUGGAUUAGAUACCCUGGUAGUCCACGCUGUAAACGAUGAAUACUAGGUGUGGGGGGACUGACCCCUUCCGUGCCGCAGUUAACACAAUAAGUAUUCCACCUGGGGAGUACGGCCGCAAGGUUGAAACUCAAAGGAAUUGACGGGGGCCCGCACAAGCAGUGGAUUAUGUGGUUUAAUUCGAAGCAACGCGAAGAACCUUACCAGGGCUUGACAUCCAACUAACGAAGUAGAGAUACAUUAGGUGCCCUUCGGGGAAAGUUGAGACAGGUGGUGCAUGGCCGUCGACAACU